CCGUUGGAGAUGCUGUGAGCUCCCAUCCUUCGGCACCCACCCACCCACCCCGGCACCGGGCCACAGCUUCCACGUGCAACCUCCUGCCCCACGCGCCAUCCUUCACCCCCUGCAGCUGCAAUCAAUCAGUCGUCACUCUCCGGACACCAGUGAGCCGUGCCCGUCUUCUCCUACCUCCAAACUCCUCGCGCUCCUCGCUGCACACACACUUAUCUUUCCAGCUCACACUUUCUCCCUCUUUGCUUCGCUCGCUGCUUCUUCUCUUGUUUCCUUUUCUCCUCUCUAUCCAACUCCCACUCUGCCACCUAUAAAUUCCAGCCACCACCAUUGAAUUGAGUCGAUUGCGCAGAAUUCUUGCAGCUGAUCGCGCCGGAAGCUCGCAUCGUACGAGAUAGUGUGUGUGCCUAGAUAAUCACGUACAUAUACAUGGCUGCAUGGCUGGCGCGCCGGGCCGCCAGGAGGCUCGCUAGCGAGCUGCGCAGCCGUGGACCAGGGCCAUGGCCCUUGAGCUCGUCGACGGUGCUGGUUCUCGGGGUGCCAUCAGGGGACCAAAGCAGGGGGUUUUGCUCCGUCCGGCGCUUCGCAGGAGAUAGCGCCGCCGCCGCUGCCGUCGAGGAGCCGGAGAAUGGACUUGCCGCAGGCGAUCUGCAGUUUGUAGAUUUCCCUGGAGGAAAGCUUUCCUUUGUUGGUGAAAUGAAUUUCCUGCCAGAGUCGCAAAGGGAAAGGAUCAAUUGUUACCGUGUUCUUGACGACGAUGGUGGGACUAUAUACAGCAGUAGAUUCCAAGAGGUCAGUAAGGAGUUGGCUCUGAAAAUGUACAGUAACAUGGUCACCCUCCAGAUUAUGGACACAAUCUUCUAUGAAGCUCAGAGGCAGGGAAGAAUUUCCUUUUAUCUAACUUCCAAUGGUGAAGAAGCAAUCAACAUAGCCUCUGCUGCUGCGCUUAGUGCUCAAGACAUUGUACUACCUCAGUACAGGGAGCCCGGUGUUCUUCUAUGGCGUGGCUUCACACUGCAAGAAUUUGCAAACCAGUUGUUUGGGAACAAGCUGGAUUACGGUAAAGGCAGGCAGAUGCCAAUACAUUACGGAUCAAACCGUCUGAAUUAUUUCACAGUCUCAUCGCCUAUCGCCACUCAGCUCCCUCAAGCUGUUGGUGCUGCCUAUUCUCUCAAGAUGGACAAGAAGAAGGCAUGUGCCAUCACGUAUUUCGGCGAUGGUGGCACGAGCGAGGGAGACUUCCAUGCCGCGCUCAACUUCGCUGCUGUCACGGAAGCGCCAGUGAUCUUCUUCUGCCGCAACAAUGGCUGGGCAAUCAGCACCCCAACCGCAGAACAGUUCAGAAGUGAUGGAGUUGUUACCCGCGGUCAGGCCUACGGAAUACGCAGUAUCAGGGUAGACGGCAACGAUACUCUUGCUGUGUACAGUGCAGUCCACACCGCCCGGGAAAUGGCUAUAACUGAAGGAAGGCCUAUUUUAAUCGAGGCGAUGACCUACCGAGUCGGCCAUCACUCGACAUCCGACGAUUCAACCAAGUACAGGCCGGCUGAUGAGAUGGAGCAUUGGCGAACAGCGAGGGAUCCCGUCUCCAGGUACAGAAAAUGGGUUCAGGGGAAUGGAUGGUGGUGCGACACUCAAGAGUCUGAACUCAGGAACAAUGUGCGGCAAGAGCUCCUGCAAGCCAUUCAGGUGGCCGAGAGGAUGCCAAAACACGGGCUUGCGGAGCUCUUCACUGAUGUUUAUGAUCAAAUGCCUUCCAACCUUCGCGAGCAAGAGCGGUCGCUGCUGGAUACCAUCAAAAAGCAUCCUGCAGAGUAUCCAGCUGAUGUGCCUGCUUAGUCCUAUUAGCCUUAGCUCUGCAAUGUUGAGUCUGCAAGUACCCAUGAAUGAUGAUUUAGCUGGUACCGUAAGAGUUAAUAUUGAUUAUAGCUUGAAUAGUAUGUAAUUUAAGAAGGGGGAAUAAACUGCCCAUCAAAAAUCUCUGAAAGAAAUAAUAGAAGAGAUUGGCUGUUACUCACACAAGGAAUAGUUGUUGCUGAUAUUUAUGUUGAACAAAGCUAUGCUAAGAUAUUUAUAACUGCAGGCAAAUGCCUCUUUUAUUUAAGACAUGGCUGUCACCACUCCUUAGAUGUACAAAUGUGAUACAACAAGGAUUGCAUUUGUCCCAACAAAAAGGUCAUUUACACACAGAAAGUGUGAAUAAGGUGUGGCAUUGCGAUCAUUGUUUUGGAUCAAUCCAACUACAACAGGGAAGGUUCAAACCAAAAAGGCUUCUACAAUGGGGAAGGGGCCUGGCUUUUCUCCUUGAUGGCCUCCUGGACAGACUUCAGCAGUGAUGGCAUCAACUGCUUAUUUGUGGCAAUGAUGCCUGUGUCAACAUCAAGAAAUCUUCCUUUCGAGAAAUCAAGAUCGUUUCCUGAGGCAUCUGUUACUACACCUCCAGCUUCUGGGGAACACACGAAAACGUAAAGUAAGGAAAUAUGUAUCCUUCAGCCGAGUUCCUUGUUUAAAAAUAAAUAAAGAGAAAUGUAUU
rnacentral:rRNA from 1 species